GGGGGUUCGGACCUACAUUUCUCAAAGAACAGUCCCCAGGAAGUGGCUUGGGGUGACAUUCAAGGGGCAGCUUGAGGAUUUCCACGCUGCCCAGCUUCCCUGCCGAGGCCGCGUUGGCAACAAGCGCCCCAGAAGCCCAGCCAAAUGAGUCCGGAGCUCCAGAAAGGAGUAGAUUAACCAACGGCUUUUCCUGGCAGCACCUUCUGGAGACUUCCCACUGCCCAUCAGUGGUUACUGUCAUGUCGGAGACCAGCAGCGCCUGCCGCCGAGGUGGCUCCCAUGGAGGAUGGCACACCCGGGGGCUGGCAUCUCCCUCCUGCUGCUCCAUGCUCAUCUCACCUGUCAGGCAAGGAGAGUCUGCAAGACGUCAUCCUCCAUGAACAGACCUGCCCCAUCACCUCCCUGGGGGGUAUGCACCCAGUCCCCUUGCAGCAACGCCUACUUCUUCC